rnacentral:rRNA from 1 species
GACGAACGCUGGCGGCGUGCCUAAUACAUGCAAGUCGAGCGAAGUUUUUCUGGUGCUUGCACUAGAAAAACUUAGCGGCGAACGGGUGAGUAACACGUAAAGAACCUGCCUCAUAGACUGGGACAACUAUUGGAAACGAUAGCUAAUACCGGACAACAGUAUUUCUCGCAUGAGAGAUAUUUAAAAGUUGGUUAUGCUAACACUAUGAGAUGGCUUUGCGGUGCAUUAGCUAGUUGGUGGGGUAAAGGCCCACCAAGGCGACGAUGCAUAGCCGACCUGAGAGGGUGAUCGGCCACACUGGGACUGAGACACGGCCCAGACUCCUACGGGAGGCAGCAGUAGGGAAUCUUCCGCAAUGGGCGAAAGCCUGACGGAGCAACGCCGCGUGAGUGAAGAAGGAUUUCGGUUCGUAAAGCUCUGUUGUUAGGGAAGAAUGGAUAUGUAGUAACUAUACAUGUAAGAGACGGUACCUAACCGGAAAGCCACGGCUAACUACGUG